AAUUGAAUAGUAUAAUUUAACGGAUAAAAAUAAUCAAAGGGUUAAAUCUAACGGGUGAAAAACUUGAUAGCACCAAAUCCUUGGUGCUAUCGAUAGUAUUCCAGCCGGACUCUAUAUAUAUAUAUAUAUAUAUAGAGAGAGAGAGAGAGAGAGAGAGAGAGAGAGAGAGAGAGAGAGAGAGAGAGAGAGGCUACUAUGUUUCUAGCACGGAGCCUUCCGUGCUUCCAGCUUGUUUUCCAUAUUGCGACUUUCGAAUUGUCGAUUAGCUCCGUUAAAUUUGAUCUAGAGUAUUUGAAGUAUCUAGAAAAUAAAUUAUGCGAUUUUUCGAUAUUAUUUGCCUAGUGAACAAAGGGGUUCAAAAUCAACGGUUGAAAAUAAAAAUCUUACAAAACGUGAUAAUAUGACAUUAAAAAUCAGCGGCUGAAAAGAAAAAUCUUACAAAACGUGAUAAUAUGACAUUAAAAUUUUAGAUCAAAGAUAUUAAUCUUGUUUUAUAUAGUAUAAAAAAUUUUCUAUCAAAAUUUCACAUGAUUUGGAUAUUUCUAUACCGUUAAACUUGCAAAUGGCUCACUACGGCCUUUAAAAUUAUUGAUUUUGAGCCCCUUCAAUCACUAGGAAAAUGAUAUCGAAAAAUCAUAAAAUUUAUUUUCUAGGUACUUCAAAUAUUCUAGAUCAAGUUUAACGGAGCCGAUCGACGAUUUAAAAGUCGCAACAUCGAAAAUGAUGUGGAAGCAUGGAAGGCUCCGUGCUUCUAAAAGCAUAGUAGCCUCACUCUAUAUAUAUAUAUAUAUAGUUGAGCCUGAAUACUAUCGAUUGCAAACUGGCUCCGUUACCACCCAUUUGUUUUGAACGAUAGAGCCUCCAAAUCGACGAUCGGCACCGUUGAACAUGAUCUGUACCACUUGAAAUGUUUAGAAAUCAAAUUUCAUAUAUUUUUAUCGACUAUAUAGGGUCGAAUACAAGUGAGCCGAUCCCAGAUCGCGUUCGGCUCGUUAAGAUUUUGAGCUAAAAAAUUUAACUUAUAUUUACUUAUUUAUUAAACGAGAGAUCUAUUUUGAACUCAUUUUGAGCCGAACACCGAUGGGAAUAGAAUAUUAUCCUACAUAUCUGGAUAAGUCCAAACUUAUUAAUAACAGCAUUUUGUUUCAGGGUCAAACAAACAGGUAAGGCAUUGAAUUCAUAUCUCCAAAAGCAUUUAAUGCAGCGAGUUGGACUGGGCUACUAUUAGUAGCAAAAUCCCAUUGUUGCUAUCAGUUUUUUAGCCUUUGGAUCAACUCUUUUCAUUAUUUCUAACCAUUGGAUUAAAUACUAUAACCCAGUGGGCACCACUCAACCCUAGGGGGACCACUCAACUCUAACCGACUAAUAUCAUCCUGACCCUACAAUUUUUCAUCCAAGGAUUAAAAACUUGGUAGCAAAAAGAACGUUUUACUAUUAAUAGUAUUCCAGUAUAAUUCUUAAUGCAGUUAUAUAUACGUGUAUAUUUUUUAUUCAUUAUUCAUAGAAUAAUUGAUAUAUAUAAUAUAUAGAU
rnacentral:lncRNA from 1 species